rnacentral:misc_RNA from 1 species
AAGUCGUAACAAGGUUUCCGUAGGUGAACCUGCGGAAGGAUCAUUACUGAAGUACACACUUCAACUACACCCCAGUGAACUGUCGUCCUCGGACGCUACACAAACUCUAUUGUUGUCAACGAAUGUACAGUUAUUCAUAACAAAUAUAACUUUUAGCAACGGAUCUCUUGGCUCUC